rnacentral:rRNA from 1 species
AUUGAACGCUGGCGGAAUGCUUUACACAUGCAAGUCGAACGGUAGAGGGGGCAACCCCUCGAGAGUGGCGAACGGGUGAGUAAUAUAUCGGAACGUGCCCAGUCGUGGGGGAUCACGUAGCGAAAGUUACGCUAAUACCGCAUACGAUCCAAGGAUGAAAGCGGGGGAUCGCAAGACCUCGCGCGAUUGGGGCGGCCGAUAUCAGAUUAGGUAUUUGGUGGGGUAAAGGCUCACCAAGCCAACGAUCUGUAGCUGGUCUGAGAGGACGACCAGCCACACUGGAACUGAGACACGGUCCAGACUCCUACGGGAGGCAGCAGUGGGGAAUUUUGGACAAUGGACGCAAGUCUGAUCCAGCCAUUCCGCGUGCAGGAUGAAGGCCCUCGGGUUGUAAACUGCUUUUGUACGGAACGAAAAGGUCUCUCUUAAUACGGGGGACUCAUGACGGUACCGUAAGAAUAAGCACCGGCUAACUACGUGCCAGCCGCCGCCGUAAUAC